UACGUAGGGUGCAAGCGUUAUCCGGAAUUAUUGGGCGUAAAGAGCUCGUAGGCGGUCUGUCGCGUCUGCUGUGAAAACUGGGGGCUCAACCCCCAGCCUGCAGUGGGUACGGGCAGACUAGAGUGCGGUAGGGGAGAUUGGAACUCCUGGUGUAGCGGUGAAAUGCGCAGAUAUCAGGAGGAACACCGGUGGCGAAGGCGGGUCUCUGGGCCGAUACUGACGCUGGAGGAGCGAAAGCGUGGGGAGCGAACAGG
rnacentral:rRNA from 1 species